ACGGGUGAGUAACGCGUAGGAAUCUACCCAGUAGCGGGGGAUAGCCCGGGGAAACUCGGAUUAAUACCGCAUACGCCCUAUGGGGGAAAGAUGGCCUCUUCUUGAAAGCUAUCGCUAUUGGAGGAGCCUGCGUUGGAUUAGCUAGUUGGUGGGGUAAAAGGCCUACCAAGGCGACGAUCCAUAGCUGGUCUGAGAGGACGAUCAGCCACACUGGGACUGAGACACGGCCCAGACUCCUACGGGAGGCAGCAGUCGGGAAUAUUGGACAAUGGGCGCAAGCCUGAUCCAGCCAUGCCGCGUGUGUGAAGAAGGCCUUAGGGUUGUAAAGCACUUUCAGGAGUGAAGAAAGGCGUUGGGUGAAUAAUCUGACGUUUUGACGUUAGCUCCAGAAGAAGCACCGGCUAACUCCGUG
rnacentral:rRNA from 1 species